AAUUAGUCAGUGCCGAUCCUAGACCGUCGGCCGCUCAAAUGCAAAUUAAAAUUGGCCGCCCUUUUUUCCAAACCUUCCUAUAUUGGUUGAUAAUCAUUUCGCCGCCUUUAAAUUUGGUCGCCCACGUCUGUGCACCACCUUCCUCCCCGCUAGGAUCGGCUCUGAAAUUAGUAUAUAGAAUCGCGACAACCGAAAUAAAUUUUAUAUGGUAUAAAUUAUAUGAAAAAUUACUACUACUCCCAAUGUAGUGCCAUUCAUUUAAUAUUUUACUCAAAUGAUUUUCAUUUGUAUAUUGACGAUAUACGAUUUAAUUUAAAGGUAAUAUUAUGCAAAAUUACGA
rnacentral:lncRNA from 1 species